ensembl:lncRNA
UCCUUCGUUAAACAUGUAUAUAUUAAAAUAAAUAAAACUAUAUAAUGUAAAUAUAUACUUGUUCGUACAAAAUAUAAUAACAUUGUUUAUGCUUUUUUCUGAAUUAUGACAUAUAACUUUUUUUUUUAUACAAUUUUAACAAUUUUUUUUAUAUAUACUCCUUAUAUUUACUUUUUUUUGCUUAUUUAUUUAUAUUUGUAUUUUUGUUUAUUUACUUUUUUUUUACUUCCGUGUUUUUAUAUAUAUACAACAUAUAGUUAUUAAGAAAAAAAAAAUUAUCAGAUGCUAACGCAAAAAGAAAAAAAAAAAAAAGUUAUCCCUAUACAUAUAUAUAUGCUCAAACUAACAUAUCGUACUAAUUAAUUUUAUUCCAAAUCUGGACUAUCUUUCAAUUUUUAACUAUCUCCCAAGCGAGCUAACGAAAAAACAAUCAAAAUGGUAAAGAUAAAAAAAACAAGUAAAAGAGUCUCAUUAAAACAAAAAUAUGCAAUUGAAAAAAAAGUUUCAGCUCAUAAAAAAAAGUUGAAAAAAAUAAUUAAAAAAACAAAUAUACACAAUCGUAGAUCAAAUAAAAAAUCUCUACAAAUUCCAAACUGUGUAUUUAAAAAGGAUAUAUUAAAAAACAUAAAAACUACAUCUUUAAUAAAAAAUGAAAACAAGAAAAAAAAAAAAUUCCAAAAUGAUGAAAAUAAGGAGAAUGAAAAAAACUACAAAGAAAUUCAAAUAAUUUCUUUAGAUGAAUUGUCGAUAAAAAAAAUGAAAGGAGAAUUAUAUACACUAACAAAUAAAGAAAAUAAUAUAUUACAUGAAACAAGUGUUUUAAAACCGGAGAUGGAUAACUUGACUUUUCAAAAUUAUAUACAAUUACCUAUUAAUUUAAAACUGGAAAUAUUUGAGAAAGUAAAAAAAGAAAAAUAUACAGAACUGAGUGAAAAAUAUUUAUAUAUUAAUGAUUUAUUACAAGUUAUACAAUAUUCAGAUAUUCUUUUUUAUAUUAUAGAUGUUAGAAAUCCAUUAAUAUAUAUGGAUAAAGAUAUACUUGAGUUUAUUCAUUCAUGUAAGAAAGAAAUUAUAAUUAUAUUAAAUAAAUGUGAUUUAGUAGACAAAAAUGUAAUAGAACAAUGGUUAUUAUUUUUUCGUUUUUAUUAUAUAACUAUACCUUUUGUAUGCUCUGAAAAAAAUAAUCCAAUAUAUUUAUACAAAAAACAAAACAAAAGUAAUACGUUACAAAAGAAAAAAAAACAACAAACAUACAAUGGAAAUAAUAAGAACAAUGAUAAUGUAAAUUAUAACAACUAUAAUGAACAAAAACAAAAAAAAAUAAUAAAAAAAUGUAUAACAACAUUAUUCCGUAGAGAUGUUAGUAUUACUUAUGGUAUUAUAGGACAUAUAUAUACAGGAAGAACAAGUUUUUUAAAUACAUUAUUAAAAGAAUUUAAUUAUAUUUUUAAUAGUAAUGAAAAUACAAAGCUUAGCUUAAAUGUUCAUAAUAAUAUUAAUAUUUUUCCUAAAACUGGAUUAAUAUUAAAAAAAAAUAUAAAUGGUUUAGAAUUAAUUAAAAAAAUACAUUUUAUCGAUUUAUUUGAAAAGGCAAAAUUUUUAUCAGAAUUUUUAAUCAUUUUGGAUAAUUUUAGUUUUCUGAAUUUUAUGAAAUUUUUAAACGUACCAGAAAUAAUUCAAAUGUAUCAAAAUAAUAUUACCGAACAAAUGGAUGAUAUACAAAAACAAGAAAUCAAAAAAAAAAUUAUUUAUAAUCUCUUUAUAAAAAAACAAAACGAACAAAUGACAAUUUCCAAUAAUAAUAUUAACAAAGAAAACGUUAACAAAUUAUACAAACAAUUUCUUUUAAAUCAAAUACCGUAUUAUAUAAUACCAGCAACCAAAAUAGUAUAUCCAAGUAAGAAUGUUACUACUGAUAGUGUUGGUAUAGCUACUGAUAUGGUUGGAACUGCUACUGAUAUGGUUGGAACUGCUACUGAUAUGGUUGGAACUGCUACUGAUAUGGUUGGAACUGCUACUGAUAUGGUUGGAACUGCUACUGAUGUUGUUGGUACUGCUACUGAUAUUGUUAGUACUGCUACUGAUAUGGUUGGAACUGCUACUGAUGUUGUUGGUACUGCUACUGAUAUUGUUGGUACUGCUACUGAUAUUGUUGGUACUGCUACUAAUGGCACUGUUACUACUAACGGCACUGGUACUACUAACGGCACUGGUACUACUACUGGGAACUAUUUUUUAGGGACAGAAGAUAUAUACCAAGAAAUUGAUCAGGUUAUAAUUUCUCAAAAAUUUAAAUUUACUGAUUUUAUAGUUAUACAAAGUGACAUGUUUAAUUUUUACAACUAAUUAUUACAAACUUUUUAAUUUAACCCUUAUUGCUAUUUCAGUG